rnacentral:rRNA from 1 species
GAUGAACGCUGGCGGCGUGCCUAAUACAUGCAAGUCGAGCGAACGGACGAGAAGCUUGCUUCUCUGAUGUUAGCGGCGGACGGGUGAGUAACACGUGGAUAACCUACCUAUAAGACUGGGAUAACUUCGGGAAACCGGAGCUAAUACCGGAUAAUAUUUUGAACCGCAUGGUUCAAAAGUGAAAGACGGUCUUGCUGUCACUUAUAGAUGGAUCCGCGCUACAUUAGCUAGUUGGUAAGGUAACGGCUUACCAAGACAACGAUGCAUAGCCGACCUGAGAGGGUGAUCGGCCACACUGGAACUGAGACACGGUCCAGACUCCUACGGGAGGUAGCAGUAGGGAAUCUUCCGCAAUGGGCGAAAGCCUGACGGAGCAACGCCGCGUGAGUGAUGAAGGUCUUCGGAUCGUAAAACUCUGUUAUUAGGGAAGAACAUAUGUGUAAGUAACUGUGCACAUCUUGACGGUACCUAAUCAGAAAGCCACGGCUAACUACGUG